ensembl:processed_transcript Snhg17 small nucleolar RNA host gene 17
AACUUGUCUUUUUUCAUUCAUUGUCUUAGUAAGAGGCCACUGAAGUAAUGGUUCUCAAAUUGUGGUCUCUGAAGCAACACUACCACCAUCCCUUGGAGUGUGUGAGAGUGGUCCUGCCUGCAGGCAGCAGUAUUUAGCAGCUCUCCAGGGGAUUCAUGGUUGAGAAGAUUGGAGAGUUGGGAAGCUACCUCUGUUACAGGCUGUAAAUAUGGUCACUGUUUCCUGGUCACUUGUCCCAGUUUGGCCCUUUCCUAAGCUGCCCAUCCAUCCAUUGUAGCUUCCCUCCUGCCCCUGUAUUCGAAAGUGAUUGUGGGCUGCCGGUGCCCUGGUCAUUGAUACUGCAGGGAGAGGAUGCCGAAAGCCUUUCCCCGUGUUUGGAGGAUCACACUUGUCCUUGCCAAACCCUGGUGCUUUCGAACAAUCUUCCUUCUCCCAGCCUAGUGGUCUCUCAGUUGCAGAUACCAGGCUCAUUUAGAGUCCUCUGCCAGUGCCGGGCAGUGUCCUAAGAGGACAUUAUUCUGGCUCAGUUUUGCAAAUAUCCCAUGAGCCCCAGUCACAUCCUCCUUCCAUGGCUGUGGAUUCGAGGCCUGCAGACAGACAUCUGUCUGGUAGAUGGGUGGCAUGUUCCCACAUGCAGUGUCAGGAGGAGAGUAAACUUGGCUAACAGGGAUGCUGGUCCCUGAGCCUGUCUAGCUCUGACCUGUUGUUACCAGCUUCCAGUUAGCUAACAGUGCCCGAAGCUACGUGAUGAUAUGGUGGAGAUAAGAAAGCAUCAUGAUCCCCCUCCCCUUUAAUUUUCUAGAUGUUUGUGGACAUCAGAGGGCCAAAGACGACACAAAGUGAAACUGGAGACACCGCCCCCCCUUGGCAUCAUGAAACUGCCGAUGUUACUGGCUCAUGCAUGGGAGACACCAGCAUACAAAGUCUUGACACCAACACCUCAGAGGGCUGUGUUCUGUCCCCGUGACCAUCAUCUAGUGCCUGGAAAGACUAGUGACAAGAACUUGUUGCCAACUUCCUAUUACCUCCCUAACAGUUGUGCAAUAAACCCCAUAGGUUAAUUCAGUCUGCCUUUUAAAUCUGUGUCAACCCAUGAAUUCAGGGCUAGGUGUGGAAAAGGAGGCUAGCUCCUGACACGCCUGUGACUUUCCUGUUCUUAAUGCCCCCUGAGGCUUGGGCUUCAGGGUGUUGGGAGUGGACAAGUAGGGCUGGUAGUCUAUAUGAUUUUAGGGCUUGUGAGAGUUGAGAUAGCUGAACAGAGAAGGUCAGAACUUGGGGAAGGUGCCUGUGUCAAUAAAAAAAGGCUGGGGUGUCACAGUCCUAGGAAGUGACGUAUCAUUGCUGAGAACUAGGGGUGUGAAUGGGCAAAUGGACUGGAAUAUAAAAUGUAGAGCAUUUUCCUGACAGGACAGGUUGCUGUAGACAGGAACGAGGGUAUGCUCAGUGACUGGCUUUGGAGGACCUUAAGGAACAGAAGUACUCUGGGUGGGGUGGAAGAGAAGAAAUGCCCUUGAGUGACUUGGAUACCAAUAGGGCCAAAGAGAAACUGGUAAAGAGGGUGUAAUUACUGAUGGAUUUAUAACUAGGACUUUUCUAUUGGAAGUGAAGGACCUGGGGAAGGCUUGGUAAGGCUGCUUACCAAGCUUAGAUCCCAGAACACAAACAGGUAAAUGGUACAUUUUUAAAACUAACACAUUUUUCUUGUCUGAGAAUUUCUAAAUUUUGAUUUUUAAAUUAAGUCUGUGUAGGGAGGUCUGCAGUUCACAGAAGGCAUAUGAUCACCGGACUGGGUGUUAGAGGUGGCCUUGAGCCUCCUGACAUGAAUGCUGGGGACUGAACCCGACCUCUGCAAGGACAGAAUUCAUGGACCAUCUCCAGGCCAGUGAAGAGCUUGAUAGCAGGCUGUAGGUGUGGACAGCUACGGUGCCCCUGGACUUGUGGGAACACCAAAGCUAGGGGUUGGUUUGUAAGGGGUUCGAGACAGGGUUUCUCUGUAGCCCUGGCUGUCCUGGAACUCACUCUAUAGACCAGGCUGGCCUCCAACUCAGAAAUCUGCCUGCCUCUCCUAAGUGCUGGGACUAAAAGCAUGUGCCACCACUGCCCGGCCUAGUUUUUUAUUUCAGAGAAAGAUUUUUGGAGUUAUUCUGAGUGGGGUGGUCUUUCCAUUCUGAGAAGGUAUUAGCUAAGAUUUGUCUUGAUACUUUUGCAGUUUUUUUUUUUUAAAGAUUUAUUUAUUAUUAUAUGUAAGUACACUGUAGCUGUUUUCAGACACCCCAGCAGAGGGAGUCAGAUCUCAUUACGGAUGGUUGUGAGCCACCAUGUGGUUGCUAGGCAUUGAACUCAGGACCUUCAGAAGAGCAGUCAGUGCUCCUAACCGCUGAGCCAUGUCUCCAGCCCCUUGUAGUGGUUUUUAAGCAUUCUAGAUAUCUGGAAUUUAAGCUAGAGAUGGUUCUAGAAAAGUUCUUGAAUUUUUAUGUGACAACUUCUAAUGUUACUGGGCCUCAUGAUGGAUGCUUACCAAGGCUGGGAUUGACAGUCAUUUAUCUUUAGAUUUUGGGUGUUCCCAUUAGCAUUGGUUACUAUACAAAUUUAUUUAAUAGAGUCUUGAAUGAUUAAGGAAGAGAAUGGAGCCCUCUACUGUUGGUUGGGAAGAACGUUAACAUUGGUACUGAAAGAUCCUGACAGAAUGUAAAAGGUCACAGAAGCCCUGAAAUUGACAAAAUAGAUUUCAUUGUUAGUAGAAGUAGCUUCACUGAUUUAGAAAAACAGAGGUGCACAGUGCUCUGGCCCCUUCUUGAAUCUGUGUCUGAAUGUUCUGACCGUUCCUUGAACCCAGCUGUGUGUCCACUGCUGCACCUCACUGCCAGGUGUUUGUGAUAUUGGUUGCUAAGAUAGAGUCAGAAAAUCUCCCCAGCAUUAGACUCUCCUUGUUUCCCUCCCAUACCCAUUUCUUAAGAAAUCAAUCAUUUUACAUUGUUUAGAUCUGGAAAUCCCCUACUCCCCUCUUCUCCUUUCCCCCCUGAGGACCUAUAAAAACUGGGACCCCUUUCCCCUCGGGGUCAACUCCUCUACCCCUGAGUGGGAUACGAGUCGUCCCCCGAGUUCUGGCUUUCCCCAAAUAAAGCCUCAUGUGGUUUGCAUCAA